CUUUCUUCAAUAUGUCGCGAGAUUUGAGGAAGUUAAAGUGGUCAGUCAGUGUUCAGUGCUUCUUGAUAUUGGAAUCUGUCGCAUUUUGUGAUGAGUACUGGUAAAAGAUUGUCUGGCAGUGAAAUAAACGCAAUUCUUAUUUUAAGAAAACGGAAAUUAAUGAUUACUGAAAUUGCGAAAGAAAUUAAUCGAAGCAGAAAAGCUGUAUAUAACGUAUUAAAAGAUGUAGAUAAUUACGGUAAAAGGAAAAGUAUUAGAAGGUCGGCAGCCUUAUCACACCGUGACACAAUAGCAAUACUUCGUGCUGCAUCAAGACUUGUGCUACUGUAAAUUGCUUGCAAAGCUGGUGUACAUACGAAUAUUCAAAAUGUUCGACGUAUGCGGCAAAUAAAUAAUAUUAUAAAUCGAUCAAAAAUAAAAGCAUAAGGAAGCACGCCUUGAAUUUGCGAAAAAAUACAUAGGAAUACUGAAGGAAAACCUGGAGGAAUCUUUACACAUGAAAAAUGGUUUUGUCUGGAUGGUCCAGAUAGUAGUACAUACUAUUAUCAUGACAUUCGAAAAGAAUAAUUAACAAAAAUUAGAUGACAAAUGAAAGAAAGGUAAUGCUGCCAUACAAAUGGCAAAAAUGAUUCAUGAAUAUUUUUCAAAGGAGAAAAUUUCUGUUUUGGAAUGGCCGGCGUGCUCAUCGGACCUCAAUAUAAUUGAGAACUGUUGGGGAUUAUUAUCAAAAGCUGUCUAUGCAGAAGGUAGACAAUUUGAAAAUUUUAAUGAUUUAAAAAUCUGUAUUAAAGAGUAAUGAAAAAAUUGAUCACAAUCUUCAAUUAAAGUAUUGUAUAAAUCCUUACUAAGAAAGAUGAUAGAAGUAAUUGAGAACCAUGAAGGUCCCUCACAUUAUUAAACACAGGAGUAUGCUAUAGUAUUGGAUUGUAAAAAUACUGUGAGCCGAAAGGUAAAAAUAUCAAUUUUUAAUGGAACUAAGGGAAGAGGCUUUAAUAGUUAAAUGGAAACACAUGUCAGGAGAUUUAGUCAAAUAGCUGAAACUCAUGUGGAGCUCUGUAUUUUGAGCACGGAAAUGCUGGCCAGAAACAGUCUCUGGAGAAAGGAAAAUGGCAUUGAUACAUUUGUUACUUUGUAAUUAGUUUUCGUUUCGCUAAUAACAUACAAACAAAAGUUUCUAACGCUACAAACACAAGUAAACAUAAUGCACAUGAUUUCACUCGAAACGAUUAUUUGAUUUCUUCGUGAUUUGUCUGCUUCUCGAUGCGCGUCGAAUAUUAAAAUUUUAGGAAUUACAAUAUGGAAUUUAUUUAAUCCCACUUGAACGAUGGUAAUGUUGUGUGGAUUAAAAGCUUUUCGAUAAGCUCUAAUAAAGGUACAAUUCUAAAUAAAUAAUUUUGUAUUACAUAAGGUGUUAAAAGAUAUACGGCACAAAGUAAAUGAUGAAUAGAACCCACUAAACUAAGUAAAAAAAAAGUUAGUGAAUAUAGGUUGAAAUUUCAACGAUGUUCGAGCAAUAAAUAGUUUUUAUGUUCAUAUAAAAUAUAUUGUGCAUUAAGAACAUGUAAUUAUCAUAUCUUUUAACACUCUGUAUAAGAUAUUAUGUUGGUAUAUUAUCUUUAUUAGUAACUGAAUAUUUUCAAAGGUUAUAUUGUAAAUGUUGUUACAAAAGACAUUUGCUUUAGUUUUAUUGGCAUAUAUGAUUAUAUAAUAUAAUUAAUUAUUAAUAAUAUCUAAACAGGGAGAGAAAUUAUGUAGCAUGUACAUUUGCUGUAAAUGUAAAUGUAUUGAAAAUGUAAGUAUUCAAAGAUGAAAAAUAAUACGUUUCUCAAUUGAUAUGUGAACUAAAUUGUAAUAAAUUUUGUAUGAGCAGUUCAAUAAAACGUAAAGAUAUUCAUGUAAUUAUAAUAAAUUAGAAGAGGCUGAAUUUCACUUUUCACUACAUCUGCUGAUUUUUAUCAAACUUCGAUAAAAAUACUUGUUAUUCAAAUAUUUGCCAAACAUUUUUUGUUACUGAUCAUUCUUACUUUGCAAGAGUAAAUUAAAUUCUCAAAUGGAGAGGUACAAAACCUAUUUCUUCACACACAUGGAAAUUAUUUAAAGCAGAAACAUAUUGUAAAUACUAAAAUUCUGUAUCAUUUAGUAAGAAAUCAAAUUA